GUUGUAUGGUUAAGUGACUAAGCGUACACGGUGGAUGCCUUGGCAGUCAGAGGCGAUGAAAGGCGUAAUAACUUGCGAUAAGCCCAGAUUAGGUAGUAAUAACCUUUUGAGUCUGGGAUUCCUGAAUGGGGAAACCCACGUGCACAAGCACGUAUCCUGUUGUGAAUACAUAGCAGUAGGAGGCAAACCGGGGGAAC
rnacentral:rRNA from 1 species